rnacentral:rRNA from 1 species
GAUGAACGCUGGCGGCGUGCCUAAUACAUGCAAGUAGAACGCUGAAGGAAGGAGCUUGCUCUUUCCGGAUGAGUUGCGAACGGGUGAGUAACGCGUAGGUAACCUGCCUGGUAGCGGGGGAUAACUAUUGGAAACGAUAGCUAAUACCGCAUAACAGUAGAUAUUGCAUGAUAUCUGCUUGGAAGGUGCAAUUGCAUCACUACCAGAUGGACCUGCGUUGUAUUAGCUAGUUGGUGAGGUAACGGCUCACCAAGGCGACGAUACAUAGCCGACCUGAGAGGGUGAUCGGCCACACUGGGACUGAGACACGGCCCAGACUCCUACGGGAGGCAGCAGUAGGGAAUCUUCGGCAAUGGACGGAAGUCUGACCGAGCAACGCCGCGUGAGUGAAGAAGGUUUUCGGAUCGUAAAGCUCUGUUGUAAGAGAAGAACGAGUGUGAGAGUGGAAAGUUCACACUGUGACGGUAUCUACCA